GGUUAAGCGACUAAGCGUACACGGUGGAUGCCCUGGCAGUCAGAGGCGAUGAAGGACGUGCUAAUCUGCGAUAAGCGUCGGUAAGGUGAUAUGAACCGUUAUAACCGGCGAUUUCCGAAUGGGGAAACCCAGUGUGAUUCGUCACACUAUCAUUAACUGAAUCCAUAGGUUAAUGAGGCGAACCGGGGGAACUGAAACAUCUAAGUACCCCGAGGAAAAGAAAUCAACCGAGAUUCCCCCAGUAGCGGCGAGCGAACGGGGAGGAGCCC
rnacentral:rRNA from 1 species